UGGGGAAUUUUGGACAAUGGGCGAAAGCCUGAUCCAGCAAUGCCGCGUGUGUGAAGAAGGCCUUCGGGUUGUAAAGCACUUUUGUCCGGAAAGAAAUCCUUGGCUCUAAUACAGUCGGGGGAUGACGGUACCGGAAGAAUAAGCACCGGCUAACUACGUGCCAGCAGCCGCGGUAAUACGUAGGGUGCAAGCGUUAAUCGGAAUUACUGGGCGUAAAGCGUGCGCAGGCGGUUUGCUAAGACCGAUGUGAAAUCCCCGGGCUCAACCUGGGAACUGCAUUGGUGACUGGCAGGCUAGAGUAUGGCAGAGGGGGGUAGAAUUCUACGUGUAGCAGUGAAAUGCGUAGAGAUGUGGAGGAAUACCGAUGGCGAAGGCAGCCCCCUGGGGCCAAUACUGACGCUCAUGCACGAAAGCGUGGGGAGCAAACAGGAUUAGAUACCCUGGUAGUCCACGCCCUAAAACGAUGUCAACUAGUUGUUGGGGAUUCAUUUCCUUAGUAACGUAGCUAACGCGUGAAGUUGACCGCCUGGGGAGUACGGUCGCAAGAUUAAAACUCAAAUGAAUUGACGGGGUCAUAGCUGUUUCCU
rnacentral:rRNA from 1 species